CCAUGAUUCAUGGGAGUCAGACUGCACGAGAUAAGUUGGGCAGUCAAAAGGGAAAGAGCCCAGACCUGCAGCUAAGGUCCCAAAAUGUGUGUUAAGUGGAAAAGGAUGUGGGAUUUCAAAGACAACCAGGAUGUUGGCUUAGAAGCAGCCAUACAUUAAAAGAGUGCGUAAUAGCUCACUGGUCGAGAGGUCCUGUGCCGAAAAUGUCCGGGGCUGAAACACACUACCGAAGCUCAGGAAUUAACGUAGUUAAUUGGUAGAGGAGCAUUCUUAAAGGGAAGAAGCAGUACCGGAAGGAGCUGUGGACUUUUAAGAAGAGAGAAUGCCGGAAUGAGUAGCGAGAGGAGGGUGAGAAUCCUUCCGGCCGAAUACCCAAGGUUUCCAGAGUAAAGCUGAUCUGCUCUGGGUAAGUCGGGGCCUAAGGUGAGGUCGAAAGACGUAGCCGAUGGACAACAGAUUGAAAUUCCUGUACUGCAGUAUAACAGAACUGUGGGGACGCAGAGGGAGAGCACUAGCGGGAAUGGAAUCCCGUGGCAAGCGAGGUAGGAGUCGCGUUGGCAAAUCCGCGUGACAAUCCGAAGACGUGAUGCAUACCGAACAAAAGUAGGGAAAUGUGUGAGCCAGCUGCCAAGAAAAGCCGCUAUUGUUUGUACUGUACCCGUACCGUAAACCGACACAGGUAGGUGAGGAGAGAAUCCUAAGGCCGACGGGAGAAGCAUUGUUAAGGAACUCGGCAAAAUGACUCCGUAACUUCGGGAGAAGGAGUGCCAGUGAGAGCUGGCCGCAGAGAAUUGGCCCAAGCAACUGUUUAGCAAAAACACAGGUCUAUGCAAAACCGUAAGGUGAAGUAUAUGGGCUGACGCCUGCCCGGUGCUGGAAGGUUAGGGGGAGAGGUUAGCGCAAGCGAAGCUUUGAACUUAAGCCCCAGUAAACGGCGGCCGUAACAAUAACGGUCCUAAGGUAGCGAAAUUCCUUGUCGGGUAAGUUCCGACCCGCACGAAAGGCGUAAUGAUUUGGGCGCUGUCUCAACAAUGCACCCGGUGAAAUUGAAAUACCAGUGAAGAUGCUGGUUACCUGCGCCAGGACGGAAAGACCCCAUGGAGCUUUACUCCAGCUUGAUACUGGGAUUCGAUAUUGUAUGUACAGGAUAGGUGGGAGGCGAAGAAGCAUUGACGCCAGUUGAUGCGGAGCCGCUGUUGGGAUACCACCCUUGCAGUAUUGGAUUUCUAACCAGCAGCCGUGACCCGGCUGGGGGACAAUGUCAGGUGGGGAGUUUGACUGGGGCGGUCGCCUCCGAAAGGGUAUCGGAGGCGCUCAAAGGUUCCCUCAGAAUGGUUGGAAACCAUUCGAAGAGUGCAAAGGCAGAAGGGAGCUUGACUGCGACACCGACGGGUGGAGCAGGUACG
rnacentral:rRNA from 1 species